GAUGCUAUGAUGAGAUUAAGCACAAACUGUGUGUUAAGGGUAGUGGGGUGGACUUGGAAAUCCUCCCCGUGAACCUACUUAUUUUAACGACUUCUCCUUCCACUGAGCACU